GUACUAAAGUAAAAAGAAAGAAGAUGGUAACUUCUCAUUUGUGUGGUCAUAAGACUUUUCCAAAUUCCUCCACCCUGUUUUUGUUCUCAUGGGACGACAUAUUCAAACCCAGAGCACAUUAAUGUCAAGCAAAGCAAGGAAAGAGUUAAACGUUUGUGAUAGGAAGAGUCAGAGGCAACUGUUGGUGGAGCCACCUGGUACCCAUUAAGGAGUAGUUAUGACAGAGGAGUGAGAGAUAAAGUAGGAAAGUUUUAUAGCGUAGGAGAGAAUGUGUAAGAGGCAGUGCUGGGUUAGUUGUAGAGGUAGUAAGCAAAGCCAGGUGUUUGAAGCUAUCAAGAGAGAAAAGAUUUAUAGGCCUCUUCAAUAGACAAAAAGCUACUUUCUUCUACUGCCUGUAGGUAAUGAGAUACUGGUUGGGCCUAAACCAGCUACGUGCUGAUGUGGAGAAGAUACCAAAGUAGUUAGUGUGAAGGUGACUGGAUCUUUGCUUAAGACUGUAACAAUGAUCCUAAGUCAACCUUCAAUGGAGGGGCUUACAGGUGUUCCAGGACAUGCCCUUCUCUGUCUUUCUUGUUAACCUUUCAGCAUUUAAAUUUUACAAGAAUCUGAAGAAUACCCUUGUCUGACCAGUAAGCUGGUAUUUUUUAGGACAUCAAUUGUAAAAAGUUGGGGUAGCAAAAAUGGCUCUGGGUGUCCACUUCUGCCAUGCAGUCUCCAUGACAGGCAGCAGUGUUGGAGCUUCAAGAGGAAGGACAAACCAUUACUUCUUGCCUUGCUCUAACCUGCAUACCAGGAUCCUCUUCCUUGAGUCAGCCUUGCAGAUGUGGUAACAAUGGUUUAAAAAUGCAAGUGUGAGAGCUGGCCCGACCGACCAGCAAUGACAAGGUUAAACUAUGGAUGUUUAGGAAAUUCGAGCAGGCUGCCUGUGCCAUAACAAAGCAAUGCUGGCCGUGGCUACCUGUUUCAGCAGACUUCUCCUGUUCUCCACGGGGCUCAGGGACUCAGCUGUGCCCUGCAAAGCUUCCUGUUUACGAUCGCGCAUCCUCCGAAAACAGCGCACGCUCUGCUUCCCACAUCUCUGAAGCCAUACAAGGAUCCAAUAACAUCCUGUGACUUGCCGUCACUGCAGUCCUUGUUUUUCUGAGAACUGACGGGAGAAGGCUCUCACAGGAUUGUUAACAAUUGGUCAUCACCUUUUGGAUGUGUCAGACUGCUGAGGACUCCAGGCUUAACUGACAAGGAAACAAUAUCAGCAAAACUUUUGGCCUUUGUUCCUGCCAUAUAUUGGUUCACAGUUUAUUGUGGCAGUUAGUGCGCUUCCUAUGUGGAGGAAACAUUUUGAUUUGAGGCUGGAUGUUACGUAGCCUCCAGAGCACUGGCUGAACUGGGACAGUAGCAUGGUUCAGUACUGAAUGGUCUUGGCAGUUGCACAGCUUGCCUGUUCUGGUCAUCUCCUCA